CUGCUGCUUCUCUUAUUAUUCUUUUUCUUCUUCUUUCUACUUUCUUCUUUCUCUUUUGUUGUUCUUCUCGCCAGACCCACAGAGAGAGAAUGAGAGAGAGAGAUUGAGUGAUUGAGAGAGUGGAGAGACAGAGAGAUGAGACCGAGAGAGAGAUGCCGUGAGGAAGACCUGACCUCCGUGAGGUCCGGUUUUCCGGCCAACCAUGGUGAGUCGCAGGGGACGUCGGAGGAGCUGGAGGACGCGAUUUUCGGCGUGGCAGAGUGAUUUCCGGCGGAACCCAGACCCAAUUUCUGGCGAACCCGUGCGUUGAAACCCAUCUAACCCGUGAGACCCGAGAACCCGUGUGACCCGGUCUUUCGAUGGUGAAGUCCGGGGCGAAUUCCGGCAACCAGAGCUGAAAUCCGACGGUCCCAGUAGCAGUUUCCGGCGAAGACCCGUGAGCUUAGAAGACCCGUAGCCUAGACCCGCAAACCGUGAGCUCAGACCCGCGACCCAGUGACCCGAGAAACCUAGAACCCGACGGCGUGAAGCUGGUUUUUCCGGUGAAUUUCCGGCGACUUCCAGUGUCGUUUUCCGGCGGAUUUAUUGAGGAAAAUCCCCAAGGAUCAUGUUCGGAUUGGAGACUUUAAUUGGUUCUCCAAUGUAGAGUCCAAGUGACUAGAGUCCAAAGAGUGUUCGAGUUGGAGUCCAAUGCAGCCGAGAUGAUGUUUCUUUGGCUGCAGGUACUUCGGUAUAGUCGAUGGGUCGGUAGCAGUGUGCUUGGGAUAUUAUGACUGAAGCUCGCCGCGACAGUUGUAAUUGUCGGACCACGGGUUGUCCACUAUUUUAUAGGUUUGGUAUGGCUUGUGACGUUUGUGUCACUUAUUCUUUGUUAAGCCAUUAUUGUUAUAGUGUUAAUAAGACUCAAACAGAUAGAUGUUAAAUGGCUCUUUGUUGUAAUUAAUUUGUGAUAGAUGUAUAAGUUGUAAUUUCCGCUAUUCAGAUUUAUGUUUUCCGCUGCA